CCUACGGGAGGCAGCAGUGGGGAAUAUUGGACAAUGGGGGCAACCCUGAUCCAGCCAUGCCGCGUGUGUGAAGAAGGCCCUCGGGUUGUAAAGCACUUUCAGUGAGGAAGAACGCCUGGUGGUUAAUACCCAUCAGGAAAGACAUCACUCACAGAAGAAGCACCGGCUAACUCCGUGCCAGCAGCCGCGGUAAUACGGAGGGUGCGAGCGUUAAUCGGAAUUACUGGGCGUAAAGCGCGCGUAGGUGGCUCGAUAAGCCGGUUGUGAAAGCCCCGGGCUCAACCUGGGAACGGCAUCCGGAACUGUCAAGCUAGAGUGCAGGAGAGGAAGGUAGAAUUCCCGGUGUAGCGGUGAAAUGCGUAGAGAUCGGGAGGAAUACCAGUGGCGAAGGCGGCCUUCUGGACUGACACUGACACUGAGGUGCGAAAGCGUGGGUAGCAAACAGGAUUAGAUACCCUAGUAGUC
rnacentral:rRNA from 1 species